AAAGAUAGAAAUAUAAAAAUAAGAUUGGAUAAUAUUGAAGAAACAAAAUCAAUUUUGCAAGAUAAAGCUACCUGAAAUUUUCACUUAAAUAUAAUGACCAAGUCUUUUGGUACAGAUGUAGAGUAAGAUUUGCAGUUAUUUUUAAGCUGAUUUCAUUUUAAGUUUGUUGAUUAGCCACACUUUAGGCUGGGGAAAGCAUUGAAUGUAUUUAAGAACAUCUGGCACUCUCUUUGUCACUCAUUCUCAUAUUUUCUAGAUUAUUAAUUCCCUUUUAAAAAUACCUGUAGCCCUGUAAGUCUUGGUGGUAUUUGCAUUAAAGAAGGUCACAGAGCUAAUUGAGCCAGU
rnacentral:lncRNA from 1 species